GGAUGGUUUCCCGAGUGGCCAAAGGGGACAGACUGUAAAUCUGCUGGCAACGCCUUCGGUGGUUCGAAUCCACCACCAUCCA
rnacentral:tRNA from 2 species